rnacentral:rRNA from 1 species
GCGCGAAACCUCUGCAAUGCACGAAAGUGUGACAGGGGGACCCCAAGUGCUUAUGUUUUACAUAGGCUUUUGCCAAGUGUAAAUAGCUUGGAGAAUAAGUGGUGGGCAAGACUGGUGCCAGCCGCCGCGGUAACACCAGCGCCACGAGUGGGAAUCGCGUAUUUGGCCUAAAGCGUCCGUAGUCGGUCUUAUAAAUUUCUUGUGAAAUCGAUUUGCCUAACAAAUCGGCGUGCAGGAAAGACUGCAAGACUCGGAAUCGGGAGGGGUAAGGAGUAUUCGGUGGGGAGCGGUAAAAUGCGAUAAUCCACCGAAGACUACCUGUGGCGAAGGCGCCUUACCAGAACGAAUUCGACGAUGAGGGACGAAAGCUGGGGGAGCGAUCCGG